UGCUCAGGUUAGUAUCGAAUUCCUGAACUCACGUGAUCCUCCUUCCUCAUCCUGUCAAGUAGCUGGGAUACAGGCACAGGCCACCUCAUCCUACUAUAAGCUGCUUCUUGUGCAAAGUUUAUUCAGCUCAUCCCAAGCCGCACUCCACGUUUGACAGUUCUGGAGGUGGAAAGCCCAGCCUCCCUCCAACUCUGCAGACUAUCCUUCCACCAUCACAAGGACUCUAGAAGCCUCACCCCAUCCCUUAAGUGAG
rnacentral:lncRNA from 1 species